AAGCUGGUUUCGGCCAGUUGAUCAACCCCAGAGGAAGUCACGGCUAACUUCGUGCCAGCAGCCGCGGUAAUACGAAGGUGGCAAGCGUUAUUCGGAAUCAUUGGGCUUAAAGGGCACGCAGGCGGAAACAGUGUGUGUUGUGUGAAAUCCCCCGGCUUAACCGGGGAAUUGCACAGCAAACUGCUGUUCUUGAGGCAGGUAGGGGUGCAUGGAACUCUUGGUGGAGCGGUGGAAUGCGUAGAUAUCAAGAGGAACGCCAGAGGUGAAGACGGUGCACUGGGCCUGUCCUGACGCUGAGGUGCGAAAGCGUGGGGAGCGAACGGGAUUAGAUACCCCGGUAGUCCACGCCGUAAACGAUGUCUACUAGGUCGUGGGUGUUCUGACACAUUCACGGCCGGAGCAAAAGUGUUUAGUAGACCGCCUGGGGAGUACGGCCGCAAGGUUAAAACUCAAAUGAAUUGACGGGGGCUCACACAAGCGGUGGAGCAUGUGGAUUAAUUCGAAGCAACGCGCAGAACCUUACCUGGGUUUGACAUGCUUGUAUGCCUUCUCUGAAAGGAGUUAGGCUGCCUUCGGGUGAAACUUGCACAGGUGCUGCAUGGCUGUCGUCAGCUCGUGUCGUGAGAUGUCGGGUUAAGUCCUUUAACGAGCGAAACCCUUGCCGUUAGUUGCCAGCGAGUAAUGUCGGGGACUCUAACGGGACUGCCGGUGUUAAACCGGAGGAAGGUGGGGAUGACGUCAAGUCCUCAUGGCCUUUAUGCCCAGGGCUUCACACGUGCUACAAUGGCAAUUACAGAGCGACGCGAUACCGCGAGGUGGAGCAAAUCGCAAAAAAAUUGCCUCAGUUCGGAUUGCAGGCUGGCAAUUCGCCUGCAUGAAGUCGGAAUCGCUAGUAAUCGCGUAUCAGCAAUGACGCGGUGAAUGUGUUCCUGAGCNUUGUACACACCGCCCGUCAAGUGAUGGAAGCCGGGAGUACCCGAAGUCGGGUUGCUAACCUUUGGGAGGCGCCUGCCGACGGUAAGUUCGGUGACUGGCACUAAGUCG
rnacentral:rRNA from 1 species